rnacentral:rRNA from 1 species
UACGGAGGGUGCAAACGUUAUCCGGAAUUACUGGGCGUAAAGGGCUCGUAGGCGGCCAACUAAGUCAUACGUGAAAUCCCUCGGCUUAACCGGGGAACUGCGUCUGAUACUGGAUGGCUUGAGUUCGGGAGAGGGAUGCGGAAUUCCAGGUGUAGCGGUGAAAUGCGUAGAUAUCUGGAGGAACACCGGUGGCGAAGGCGGCAUCCUGGACCGAUACUGACGCUGAGGAGCGAAAGCCAGGGGAGCAAACGGG